rnacentral:tRNA from 1 species
UUGUUAACUAAAGGUUUACGGGAUCGAGCCCCUUCGAUCUAG